rnacentral:rRNA from 1 species
GCACAAGCGGUGGAGCAUGUGGUUUAAUUCGACGCAACGCGAAGAACCUUACCUGGGCUCGAAAUGUAGUGGAAUCCGGUGGAAACAUCGGCGCCCAGCAAUGGGCCGCUAUAUAGGUGCUGCAUGGCUGUCGUCAGCUCGUGUCGUGAGAUGUUGGGUUAAGUCCCGCAACGAGCGCAACCCUUGUUACCAGUUGCUACCAUUUAGUUGAGCACUCUGGUGAGACCACCUCGGAUAACGGGGAGGAAGGCGGGGAUGACGUCAAGUCCUCAUGGCCUUUAUGUCCAGGGCUACACACGUGCUACAAUGGCCGGUACAAACCGUCGCAAACCCGUGAGGGGGAGCUAAUCGGAAAAAGCCGGCCUCAGUUCGGAUUGGAGUCUGCAACUCGACUCCAUGAAGCUGGAAUCGCUAGUAAUCGCGGAUCAGAACGCCGCGGUGAAUACGUUCCCGGGC